ACAAUUGUUCAGUCUUUUUUGUGAAAGUUAAUUCCUCGCGACCUGUUUUCAAUUGGCUGAGCAGCGCACGAAACAGGCAUUUUUCUCAAUUCCCGCUAUGAGAGGAAUGGGAAAGUUGCCCGUAUGGCGGCGCCUUACGCAUUAUUACGGCGUACGACAUGUAUGACGUCAUUGACAUUAUUUAAAGCAAAAAGUGACUCUAAAAAAUAUAACACCAAGCGAUGUGUAAUUGCUUUGCAUCUCCUUUCGAAUACAAGUUUCAAAUUACUAGACAAAAAAUGAUAUCCUGAGAAAAGUGUAUUUUAAGGGGUAUAACUCACUAGACCUCCAUUUUCUUUAUGUGAGCGCCCUCAUAUGUAAACAGACUGGAACUGCAACCAGUUCUCCCCAUACUAGUGUUGUCAAAAAUAUCGAUAUUUUUCAAGGUAUCGUAUCAAAGUUAUAAAUUCUAGUAUCGUGACAACACUACCCCAUAUUAGACAUUCUCUGGUUCGAUCUUCAACUCCACAGAGAUUGUAAUUCACUUGUAAUUCUGUAUCAUAAAAAAAACAGAACAAACAAACAGUGCACAUCGUCUCCUUCCACAGACUGACAGACUCGUGACGAGGCAUCGGGACCCAGGUUGAGACAUCCUUUCCAGUGAUGUAUUAGCAAGAUGAACCGCUGCAACCUAAGAGUCCGCCGGGUCAAUUGAGAGGAGGUUUGGGGACUAUUGAAGGCUAUUGGUCGCUGUAGAUAUCAAACUGCCUCCCAUCAAGGUGUUUGCUGGGUGAGAAUAGCUCUCAGUCCCACAUCACUGGCAUCAGUAUUCACCUGAAGAGGUUGGUUGAGGUCAGGCUGCAUCAAUACAGAUCCACCUGCCAGUAUCCUGACUGCAAAUCCAAUGUGCUGAACCAGGUGGCGCCAUCCAUGGAUUCCAGGAUGUCAUGAAUAAGCGGCAUUGGAUAAGCUUCAGGUAUGGUGUUUCUGUUAAGUCUCCUAUAGGCCACACAGAACCUGGGGACGAGGACUACGGGUGAUGACCAUGGAGAGAAGGAUGGCUCAAUGAUGCGGUCACUUGCUGGCUCAAUAAUAACUGGAAACCAUCAGAUCUCCUUUGAGGCGUGUCAUGAUCUGUUGAAGAACGAAAACGAAAUCAUCAUGAUUGUCUUUCACGAUAAUGAAGUAUUUUUUUAGUGAGACCUG